rnacentral:rRNA from 1 species
CCUACGGGGGGCUGCAGUGGGGAAUCUUGCGCAAUGGGCGAAAGCCUGACGCAGCAACGCCGCGUGCGGGAUGACGGCCUUCGGGUUGUAAACCGCUUUCAGCAGGGACGAAAAUGACGGUACCUGCAGAAGAAGCCCCGGCUAACUACGUGCCAGCAGCCGCGGUAAUACGUAGGGGGCAAGCGUUGUCCGGAUUUAUUGGGCGUAAAGAGCUCGUAGGCGGUUCCGUAAGUCGAAAGUCAAAUCUCUGGGCUCAACCCAGGGCCGCUUUCGAUACUGCGGUGACUGGAGUCCGGUAGGGGAGUGUGGAAUUCCUGGUGUAGCGGUGAAAUGCGCAGAUAUCAGGAGGAACACCAACAGCGAAGGCAGCACUCUGGGCCGGUACUGACGCUGAGGAGCGAAAGCGUGGGGAGCGAACAGGAUUAGAUACCCCGGUAGUC